AUUGAAUAUGUAUUUCCAAUUGAAUCAGACAACAGGAGAUACACUUUAUAUUGCAUCUCAUCUCUCAUUUCAGUGAACAUGGUGUUGCCUUCAACCACUUACCAUCGUCGUCUUUCUAAAAAAAAUCGUAAACUCGAUCACCACGCUGCCAUCCUUCAUCUUCUAUAAAAAAAAUCACCAUAAACCCUAGAUGUCAUCGCCUUCUUCGCUACCAGGUACCUCUACUGCUUCAACGAUCUCACAGUCUUCCAACCACCACCUUCAUCGUCGCCACCGCUACACCAUUGUACCUUAGAUUUAAAAGCCGAACAACUGCUACACCACCACCACUCCGUUUUUGUCACUUUCUCAUCAUCGUGUAGAAUCCGAACAGCUACAAGAUGUUAAAAGCAACUGUGAAAUUGUAGGAUCGAUCUUCAUAUGCAUCAUGUAUGAAAAAGUUCAAAUUCUUGAUAUUUUACAUGUUAUUUUUGUAUUUUAUAUUUGAUCUUUAUUGAAGAACCGGUACAUAUGUGUCCAAUUUAUAAAUGCAAAGAAACUGUUUGAUAAAAUGUCUGAAAUAGAAUUUAGAAAAAAUAGAGUUUCUGGAAGAGUUGAUAUAAAGUUGUGAUGAUUUAAUCAUAUUUUCUCUUCUUUUUUUUACCUGGAGUUCUAGAAACCUGACCAUUUUUGUUUUGAGAUAAUUUAACAUUUUGAACACUUCUUUUGCAUAACAGGAUUGGAUUGGAAUUCUUUUGUAUGAAAUUUGGUGUAAGGAUUUAAAUAUGUGUUUUUAAUGACUCUUUUUAGGAGAAAAAAUCAAAUCUUGGAUCAUUAUUUUGCUAUUCUGGAGCCUAUGAAAUAUCCCGCUCAAGCUUGUGGAUAGACCUACUGGAAGUCACAAUCCUUAAAAGAAAACUGGUUUAUUAUUCACAAUUUGUUGUCAAUUUAUUCAGAGUACAUAUAAUCAUACUCUUUUGGCUUUCUCAACCGCAAAUCGUGAUAACAAUAGCCAAACUAUCACAUCUUUCUCUACAAAUAUAAAUAAAUAGAUUCAUGUUUCAAUUAAGAGUAUAUAAAGUUUACACCGACCAAAAUCUUUAUCGUAUCCUUGGCCUUUUUUAUGAACAUUAACUAACCAAAAUGAAUAGGGACAUCACAAGGAGCAACAUACUCGAAAAACCUGCCUUUUUCCUUUGUUUUGUAGCUCUAACCUCAGACAUCAUUUCUGUUUUGGGUUUUAGAAGUCGAAAACGUCACCAUUUGAUCUUGAUUUUGUUCCCUUUGCCUUUUGAUUUUGCAUGCAUAAGCUUAUAAUGAUUUGAUCUUGAUUUAGUUAGUUGUUUUUGAAGUAACAGGACGGCCCUGCCUUCCAUCCCAUCCAUGAAGGUUAGAGAAUAAAUUUCUUCAAAAAACUACAAAAUAAAAUUUUAUUAUAAUGUUUAUGGUUGUCAAUGAGCUUUUAUUAUCCAAAAACUCAUGUUAGUCAUCCAAAAGAAGGUGCAUUUUCAUUUGUCGAAGAACCCAAUUAACUAAUCUAUACCAUUUCUAAUCAUACAAAGUCCAAUGAUGUAAAACAUAUUUGGAAUUGAGGUAUGUAUCUAUUGUUGAUGUUUUUUCUGUUUUUUAUUGCAUUAAAGUUGAUGUGUAUUUCAGAUGGUAAUGGUUGAACAUACGUUAUGGGUUUUGACUUAAAGUAGGAUGUUAUAAAAUAAACAAAUGAUGUCAUUAACAUUUUUAAGCUUUUGAAUAUGUGAAACAAAGUAAUUGCAAAGCAUUGGAGACAAUGUGAAAUCAUGUGUAUAACUUUGGGGUUUUGUUAGAAUAUGUGAUGGGAAAAAGACAAACGCAUCCAACUUUUAUGAAACGGGAAUAAAAUGUCGUUGGUCAGGUAUGCAUUUAUGUUUAUUGACUAAAGGAUUGGACAAAUUGGUGAUUUCUAUCAUUUAUUUUGUGAUUUUGAACAAUAAUAUUGCUUUUAUCUGUAAUCCCAGGUAGGUUCAUGAUUUCUAAUAUUUCUUUUUCGUGUUUGUUAUAGGUUACGGUACAAAAUUUGAGUGGGUUGUGAUUAUGUGUAAGAAAUGAGUACAUUGCUAUUACAGGCAAUGUCUAUCAUCAUUUACCUUUAAUACCAUUGUACUUAUAUUGUAUACCUAUAAUAGCAACAUAUUUAGAUUUGUUUACCAAAAUAGUAAUCAAUCUUUUUAUCCAUAAUUGCAUAGUAGUUAUAUUUUUUAUUACAUGUAAAGGCGCUGCAGUGAUAUUUUAUUUGCUGAUAACAAUAAUGUACGGCCACUGAUCUAAUAUUUUUAAGAAAUGUGUUAGUUUACUUUUA